rnacentral:tRNA from 1 species
GUUAAAUUUAGAAUUUAUUUAUGAAAAAAUAUUCAGUUGAAA